UGGGGAAUAUUGGACAAUGGGCGCAAGCCUGAUCCAGCCAUACCGCGUGUGUGAAGAAGGCCUUCGGGUUGUAAAGCACUUUAAGCAGGGAGAAAAAGCUAUAGGUUAAUACCCUAUGGCCCUGAUGUUACCUGCAGAAUAAGCACCGGCUAAUUCCGUGCCAGCAGCCGCGGUAAUACGGAAGGUGCAAGCGUUAAUCGGAAUUACUGGGCGUAAAGCGCGCGUAGGUGGUUUGUUAAGUUGGAUGUGAAAGCCCUGGGCUCAACCUAGGAACUGCAUCCAAAACUAACUCACUAGAGUACGAUAGAGGGAGGUAGAAUUCAUAGUGUAGCGGUGGAAUGCGUAGAUAUUAUGAAGAAUACCAGUGGCGAAGGCGGCCUCCUGGAUCUGUACUGACACUGAGGUGCGAAAGCGUGGGUAGCGAACAGG
rnacentral:rRNA from 1 species